rnacentral:rRNA from 1 species
GACGAACGCUGGCGGCGUGCUUAACACAUGCCAGUCGAGCGGUAAGGCUCCUUCGGGAGUACACGAGCGGCGAACGGGUGAGUAACACGUGAGUAAUCUGCCCUUCACUUCGGGAUAACCACCGGAAACGGUGGCUAAUACCGAAUACGACCAGUCUUCGCAUGAGGUGCCGGUGGAAAGUCUUUUCGGUGAAGGAUGUGCUCGCGGCCUAUCAGCUUGUUGGUGGGGUAAUGGCCUACCAAGGCUUCGACGGGUAGCCGGCCUGAGAGGGUGACCGGCCACACUGGGACUGAGACACGGCCCAGACUCCUACGGGAGGCAGCAGUGGGGAAUAUUGGACAAUGGGCGAAAGCCUGAUCCAGCAACGCCGCGUGAGGGAUGACGGCCUUCGGGUUGUAAACCUCUUUCAGUACCGACGAAGCGCCCUGUCGGGUGGUGACGGUAGGUACAGAAGAAGGACCGGCCAACUACGUG